rnacentral:rRNA from 1 species
AUUGAACGCUGGCGGCAUGCCUUACACAUGCAAGUCGAACGGCAGCACGGGUGCUUGCACCUGGUGGCGAGUGGCGAACGGGUGAGUAAUACAUCGGAACAUGUCCUGUAGUGGGGGAUAGCCCGGCGAAAGCCGGAUUAAUACCGCAUACGAUCUACGGAUGAAAGCGGGGGACCUUCGGGCCUCGCGCUAUAGGGUUGGCCGAUGGCUGAUUAGCUAGUUGGUGGGGUAAAGGCCUACCAAGGCGACGAUCAGUAGCUGGUCUGAGAGGACGACCAGCCACACUGGGACUGAGACACGGCCCAGACUCCUACGGGAGGCAGCAGUGGGGAAUUUUGGACAAUGGGCGAAAGCCUGAUCCAGCAAUGCCGCGUGUGUGAAGAAGGCCUUCGGGUUGUAAAGCACUUUUGUCCGGAAAGAAAUCCUUGGCUCUAAUACAGUCGGGGGAUGACGGUACCGGAAGAAUAAGCACCGGCUAACUACGUGCCAGCAGCCGCGGUAAUACGUAGGGUGCGAGCGUUAAUCGGAAUUACUGGGCGUAAAGCGUGCGCAGGCGGUUUGCUAAGACCGAUGUGAAAUCCCCGGGCUCAACCUGGGAACUGCAUUGGUGACUGGCAGGCUAGAGUAUGGCAGAGGGGGGUAGAAUUCCACGUGUAGCAGUGAAAUGCGUAGAGAUGUGGAGGAAUACCGAUGGCGAAGGCAGCCCCCUGGGCCAAUACUGACGCUCAUGCACGAAAGCGUGGGGAGCAAACAGGAUUAGAUACCCUGGUAGUCCACGCCCUAAACGAUGUCAACUAGUUGUUGGGGAUUCAUUUCCUUAGUAACGUAGCUAACGCGUGAAGUUGACCGCCUGGGGAGUACGGUCGCAAGAUUAAAACUCAAAGGAAUUGACGGGGACCCGCACAAGCGGUGGAUGAUGUGGAUUAAUUCGAUGCAACGCGAAAAACCUUACCUACCCUUGACAUGGUCGGAAUCCCGCUGAGAGGUGGGAGUGCUCGAAAGAGAACCGGCGCACAGGUGCUGCAUGGCUGUCGUCAGCUCGUGUCGUGAGAUGUUGGGUUAAGUCCCGCAACGAGCGCAACCCUUGUCCUUAGUUGCUACGCAAGAGCACUCUAAGGAGACUGCCGGUGACAAACCGGAGGAAGGUGGGGAUGACGUCAAGUCCUCAUGGCCCUUAUGGGUAGGGCUUCACACGUCAUACAAUGGUCGGAACAGAGGGUUGCCAACCCGCGAGGGGGAGCUAAUCCCAGAAAACCGAUCGUAGUCCGGAUUGCACUCUGCAACUCGAGUGCAUGAAGCUGGAAUCGCUAGUAAUCGCGGAUCAGCAUGCCGCGGUGAAUACGUUCCUGGGUCU